rnacentral:rRNA from 1 species
GCAUCGAUGAAGAACGCAGCGAAAUGCGAUACGCAAUGCGAAUUGCAGAAUUCCGCGAGUCAUCAGAUCUUUGAACGCAACUGGCGCCGGUCGAACAGGCCGUGCAUGCUUGUCUCAGUGUGCGAGGAAUCACACAGCACAAUGCGAUUGACGGGGAGGUCCGCCUCCCUUUCUCUCGUUAAACACGAAUAUCGCCGAGCUAUUCCGCGCGGCCGAACGAAGUAGUCACUUCUUCCGAAAGUGAUCUCGUUUCGGGUAACCGGCGGGCUCAUUCAAGGCGAAUUUGAAACUAAAAUUUUACUUUUCUCCACCACACCUGAGAUCAAGCAAGAUCACCCGCUGAACUUAAGCAUAUCAAUAAGCGGAGGA